ACGGGUGAGUAACGCGUAGGUAAUCUACCAAAGUGUCUGGAAUAACCGGCCGAAAGGCUGGCUAAUACUGGAUAGAGCGACGGGACUCGUAAUCGAGUCUUUCGGGAAAGGGAGGCAGCAAUGCCCUUCGCACUUUGAUGAGCCUGCGUCUCAUUAGCUAGUUGGUGGGGUAACGGCCCACCAAGGCAUUGAUGAGUAGCUGGUCUGAGAGGAUGAUCAGCCACACUGGAACUGAAACACGGUCCAGACUCCUACGGGAGGCAGCAGUGGGGAAUCUUGCGCAAUGGACGAAAGUCUGACGCAGCCACGCCGCGUGAGUGAAGAAGGCCUUCGGGUUGUAAAGCUCUGUCGGGAGGGACGAACAUUUUGGGUGUUAACAGCAUCCAGAACUGACGGUACCUCCAGAGGAAGCACCGGCUAACUCUGUGCCAGCAGCCGCGGUAAUACAGAGGGUGCAAGCGUUGCUCGGAAUCAUUGGGCGUAAAGGGUAGGUAGGUGGUCUCAUUUGUCUGGGGUGAAAGCCUCGAGCUUAACUCGAGAAGUGCCCCGGAAACGGUGAGACUGGAGUCUUGGAGAGGGUCGUGGAA
rnacentral:rRNA from 1 species